rnacentral:rRNA from 1 species
UACGUAGGCAGCGAGCGUUGUUCGGAAUUACUGGGCGUAAAGAGUGUGUAGGCGGUGCUCUAAGUUCGGUGUGAAAUCUCCUGGCUCAACUGGGAGGGUGCGCCGGAAACUGGAAUGCUUGAGCGUGGGAGAGGAAAGCGGAAUUCCUGGUGUAGCGGUGAAAUGCGUAGAUAUCAGGAGGAACACCUGUGGUGUAGACGGCUUUCUGGACCAUAGCUGACGCUGAGACACGAAAGCGUGGGUAGCAAACAGG